ensembl:lncRNA
CAGGGACAUACAGACUUUUAUAACCCUGGUGCUUGGUAUUUUUCAAGGCAGAGAAACUAUUCUGUAUGAUAAUUGAAUGGCUGAAUACAUGUAAUUUUACAUUUGUCUAAAUCUAAAUAUUCACAGUUACUGUACUCUAAUGUCAACUUAAAAUUCAUUUAAUUUAAUUUAAUUAAUUUAUUUUUGGUACCAGGGAUCGUACUUGGGACCUUGUGCUUGUGAGGGAGGCACCACUGAGCUAAAUCCGCAGCCCUUAAAAUUCGUUUUAAAUUGAUGAGUCAUUGAAUCAUGAAUUAUUUUCAGGCCCCCUGACUGAGACCCCUGCCCAACUGAGAGAGAAAAAGCCCCAAAAGACGCAUUGCCUGCAAGAAAAGAGAUAAUAGGAAGCCAGCUACUGCCUUGCUCAUUCACACCUGCAAGGAGACUGACUCUCUGAAAAACCACAAGGCACCCGCCUUACCUUGCUGUACCUGCCAUCGCCCUGCUACCCUCACCCCGUCCUGUUCAUCAGUCUUAAGCCUGUCAC